rnacentral:lncRNA from 1 species
GAGCUUACGCAGGGGCACCAAGCACGCCGCUUCAAGCGAGGGUUGGAGGUGUUUCGAUGGCCGGAGAACCACAGAGAAUCGUAGGAUCGGAACAUACUACAGUUCUUGGGGGAAGGUGGGAGCGUUGAGCAAAUUGGGGUGAAAGAAAGACACCGAUCGCAAGAGAGGUGCGUUCCUGCUGGAAAGACUGGGCUGUGCAGAAAGAAGCAGGGCUAGAUAAAGCACGGAGCACGUGGACAGGCAGGGCCAAGGCUACACGAAGCCCCUAGGGCAUUAUGACUGCCUAGCUCCUUAGAGAAUGUGAUGUCCUGUGGUGCAACUGGACCUGCCGGGGACUGGAAAGUCGCCUGAGGAAUCAAAACGGUGAUUUGGAAGGAACAGUAGAUACUGCUCCUUUGUUUAAGUUCACAAAUCAGAUAUUUUCCUUUAAUGAUACUUGACAUUUCCAAUUAAAUAUAAUCACAACCAAGUCCUUGGAGUUCCCAUCAUGGCUCAGUGGAAACGAAUCCGACUAGGAACCAUGAGGUUGUGGGUUGGAUCCCUGGCCUGGCUCAGUGGGUUAAGAAUCUGGCGUAGCAGGGAGCUGUGGUGUAGGUCGCAGAAGCAGCUUGGAUCCCAGUUGCUGUGGCUCUGGCUUAGGCCAGUGGCUACAGCUCUGAUUAGACCCCUAGCCUGGGAACCUACAUAUGCCAUGGGUGCAGCCCUAGAAAAAGAUUUAAAAAAACCAAAAAACAAAAAAACGAGCCUCUGGGAGAUUCUGAUAUGCCUUCCCUUUCUUUCCUCCUUGGUAUCAUUCAUCUAAAGCAACUUCCUACCAUGAAACAAUCUCUCUAGUCUAUAGCGUCUCUGGCACAAAGGUAUAGGCGUCACAGAAGAUGCACUGCAUUUUUUUGUUUGUUUUAUUUUGUCUUGUGCCUACACCACAGCAACACAGGAUCUGAGCCUCGUCUAUGACCUACACCACAGCUCACAGCAACACCAGAUCCAUAACCCACUGAGCAAGGCCAGAGAUCGAACCUGCGUCCUCACAGAUUCUAGUUGUGUUUGCUAACCACUGAGCCACGACGGGAACUCCGAUGCACUGCAUUUAAAAAAAAAAAAAUGCACUGCUUAAUCAAUUGCCCUGUUGGACAGCUCCAAUUAGAAACUUUGGGGUGUUGAACAAAAUUACACUCCUGAUAAUGUCUCUUGUCCCUGUCGAGAUCCCUGGGACAAUAGGUGACACAUUACUUCCAGUUUUUCAUUAACAGCUUGUCACCAAACCAGAGUCUUGCUCCUGGCCCACAGCAAACUGAAUGCUGAGACACUGAGGUUUGCAGCAGAGAGUUUAUUCACAAGGCAGCCAAGGGACGAGGUGGGAGAAUGCCUCUUAGAUCCCCCACCCGAAGGUGAGGGGCUUGAGAUUUUUAUGGGAUAAAGAAGCAGGUUGGGCAGGUGCGGGGAAAGGUGAUUGACGCAGGAAGAGGUGAAGUCACCCAUGUUCCACACAGGCGUAUCUGAGUGACAUGCUGCUUCAUGGGAAGGGUUUCAAAAGUGGAGGCACUUGGCAUGAUUUGGGGGAGUUUUUGGCCUCUGAUGUCAAAGGGUCAGUCAUCACCUGCACGGACCUAGUUUUAGGAUCAGUGGACCCGAACAGUCUUAGCCAACAUGAACUGGACAAGAGCCGACUCUUAUGUUUCUGAAAAACAGCUUAAGCCCCUGUUACUAUAGCAACUCAUAAAUCGGAGGUGUUCAUAGGGGUAGUUGAGGCGUCUUGCGGUAUAUUAUCUAAGCCUCAUGAAACUUGGAGGGUAUGUAAUUUGAAAAAAACAGUGAUAAAGGCAAGCUUGGUCCGUGAAGGCAGGCUACAGGCAGAGGGGUUGUGUACCAAGCUGUUCCCUUAGCUGCUGUCCUGUAAGACAAGCUCGAGAAUUGGGCACCAUUUCAAGCUUUUCUCUUCUAGGAGAGCUAUAAAUUUGGGGUUCUUUCCCAAGUUGCCAUCUCCCCACCCGUUGUACCUCUUAGCAGAGUGUCGCAUUUCUGCAGCAGAGGUGAGCGAACUCUGACGGUGGUGUGUUUGACUAGUUUCCAUGAGGACACGGGUAUUUGAUCCCUGGCCUCAUUCAGUGGGUUAAGGAUCCAGCAUUGCCCUGAACUGUGGUGCAGGUCGAAGAUGCGGCUUGGAUCCCGAGUUCUGGUGUAGGCCGAAAGCUGCAGCUCCAAUUCGAUCCCUAGCCUGAGAAUUUCCAUAUGCCACGGGUACAGCCCUAAAAAUCAGGGGAAGGAAAAAAAGGAGUCUACUUCCCACCAAGGGGCACGUGUCCCUGACAAGGAGUGAUAAUAAGAAACAAAGAGUAGCUACUGUUUUCCUCCUGAGAAGAAUAUUCAUUUAACUGUUCUUUAGAUGACACAGAUGGAGACAACCAACUCAUAAAAGUUGGAAUUUUUGGAGUUACCAUGUGGCUCAGCAGGCUCAGUAUCUGGUGUCGUCACUACAGUGGCUCAGGUUGCUGCUGUGGCACAGGUUCAGUCUGUGGCCUGGGAACGUCCAUGUGCUGAGAGUGUAG